GCUCCUAUCCCGCUCGGCGGCAAGCGCCUGGUUCUUAACUCCCUUCAGCGGCCUCGCACGCGCGCGGUUCCAGCCCCGGCCUCCUCCUCGUCGGCUUGGCUGUGGGGCCAUGGCGUGUCGGCGGCGGCCCGAGGCUGGCGUCGGGGCCCGCGGCGCGCUGGCGCUGCUGGCGCUGGCUCUGAACGUGCCGGGGGCCAGGGGCCGGGCGCUCGAGUGGUACUCGGCUGUGGUGAGCACCGAGUACGUGGACCCGCACACGAACCGCACCGUGUGGAGCGUCUCGGAGAGCGGCCGCUUCGGCGACAGCUCGCCCAAGGAGGGCGCGCAGGGCCUGGUGGGCGUCCCGCGCGCGGCGGACCGCGACCCCGAGGGCUGCGCGCCAGACACUCGCUUCCUCGUGCCGGCGCCCGGCGGCCGGGGGGACGCGCCCUGGGUGGCCCUAGUGGCGCGCGGGGGCUGCACUUUCAAGGACAAGGUGCUGGUGGCGGCGCGGAGGAACGCCUCGGCCGUGGUCCUCUACAACGGGGAGGGCCACGGGAACCUCACCACGCCCAUGUCCCACGCGGGAACUGGAAAUAUAGUGGUCAUUAUGGUGAGCUACCCAAAAGGAAGAGAAAUUUUGGAUCUGGUGCAGAAAGGCAUUGCAGUGAAAAUGACCAUAGGGGUUGGCACCCGUCAUGUACAGGAGUUCAUCAGUGGUCAGUCUGUGGUAUUUGUGGCCAUCGCCUUCAUCACCAUGAUGAUUAUCUCAUUAGCCUGGCUGAUAUUUUACUAUAUACAGCGUUUUCUAUAUACUGGCUCACAGUUUGGAGGUCAGAGCCAUAGGAAAGAAGCUAAGAAAAUCAUUGGCCAGCUUCCACUUCAUACUGUAAAGCAUGGAGAAAAGGGAAUUGAUGUUGAUGCUGAAAACUGUGCAGUGUGUAUUGAAAAUUUUAAAGUAAAGGACGUUAUUAGAAUUCUGCCAUGCAAGCAUAUUUUUCAUAGAAUAUGCAUUGACCCAUGGCUUUUGGAUCACCGCACGUGUCCAAUGUGUAAACUUGAUGUCAUCAAAGCCCUGGGAUAUUGGCACAUUCAUUCAGCAUGUAUCAAAGGAGUGCUCUCUCAGGUGCUAGAUUGGACCUUGACUUGGGGAGACAAAGAUGAGUAAGACGCAGCCCUUCUGGUUGUGGACUUUCACUUUCUGGACUGUGAGGGCCAGGGCAUACACCCACGCACAACGCUGCAAAGGAGGUAUGUUUGAAGUGCCAAGGAGCACAGAGAAAGGAGGAAAUGACCCCGCCAGGUAGAGUGGGAAGAUAAGAGGGUGGUUUUUUUAAGAGGGGAGUCUGAGCUGGGUGUUACAGGAUUUGCCUGCCAGAUCAGUACAUUGCAGAUGAGGGUGUGACCAUGUCUGGCUUUGAGACUGGCAGGUGGUUAAGUUUGGCGGGUAUUUUGGUAACUCUCUGGGAAAACAGAUGAGGGUGGGCUGGGUGGGAGUUUGGACAUUACGGCUACUCAGUAGGAUUUGUGGUUUGAUGUGUCUGGAGUCUGUUCUGAGGGUAUUCAGUUACUUAACAGUGAGAAGGAGGCAGCGUACCAUGUGGUUCAGGAGGAGGGCUGUUCUAGAACUGGGUGGGGCAGCAGCGGGAGGAGCCCUCCGGUGUGCCCUUGCCCCGGAAGCCUGGGGAGGGAGGUGGAACCAGCACCAUGUUCUUGGCAUGAACCUCGGGCUCACUGUGAACGGACAGCCACCCCUCCUUUACUAGGUUACCUCACAAGUGGUUUCCUCUCACAGCAUGACUCUGACUCUGGCAUUACUCAGAAAGGUAUCUGGAUAAACCUCUGAGACUGGGCUGUCACUUUCCUUACCCUGUUUUUUUCUUUAACACAGCAAAUGGGGGAUAGACACUGUCUUGAGCUGAUAGAAUCCACAACGGAUUCUUCUAAAGUGAAUCAAAUGCAGUCUGAAGCCCUCUGUUGUCAGACACUGUGUUCUUCUGAAACCCUGGUGCCCACAGUAAGACAGUAGGGCAGUUUGAGGCAGUCAUCCAAGAUCACAGCCACAGCCAGGCUGAUUCACACCCCCUGUUCAGGAAGCAAGGAAAGUGUGUUUGACAAAGGUUUAGAGUUUAAAAGGUGGCAUUGCUUUCAUCAAGGGGAAAAGCAGUUUUUCAAAUAAACAGUGUUUAGGUCUUGGAAAGCUGCCUAUUGAGAAGUAAUUCAUUUUCUGAUGUUGCUAAUAAAGAAGACGUUAGUGUUUUUGCCCUAUAUUGUGUAUAAAAGUAAAUACUUUGUAGGAAUUAUGAGUAAUGAUUACGAAAUGAUAGAUAAGCUUUGACUAUGUUAUUCAGACAAGGUAUUUUCUUUUGUUCUCUCAAGGGAGAGCUUGAAGAUGUGCAGGAGACGCCUGCUCCAGAACCUACCCCUGGGAGUGUUUUGGUGGCAAAUCUGAGUAUCAGUUUACAAGAUGACAGAAGUGAGGGGAGCAGUUUGCCCUCGUCUUCCACUAGUGAUUCUGCACCACCGUGUGACGCCAGUUUCAAAGAAGAUGCAGGUGAAAACACAGCCUUACUAGAAGCGGGCAGGAGUGACCUGCAACGUGGUGGACCCAUCUCCUCGCACACAUCCUGAUGACCACAUCAUGGAUAGAGCUUUGGCUCGAAUUAAAGGACUUUUUUUUUUAACUUCAGCACAUAGUUUGUAUAUUUGAAAAUAAUGUACAUUCUUUUACCUUUCAGAUUUUGAUUUGAUAUCCAAAGGGCUAUUUUAUUCUUAAAGAGACAUUUUGAUUAGUUUUAAUAUAUUUAUCUACUAAAAUGUAUCAUUUAUGAUAAACAGUAUGUUGCUUUGGACUAUUACAGAGACCAUUAGGAAGGCACUCUAAAGGUCGGGGUAUGUUUCUGAAUAGUAGACUAGCUGCUACGGUACUGUAAAAACAGGAUUAAUUUUGCUUCUCAAGGAUGAUUUUAGACUGAGCAACUGAAUUUAGACCAGUGGAAAUGCAAUUGUAUAAUUCAGUGAUUGAUCAUGAGUUUUCCCUGGAGGAAAGACUUUUCUAGAACAUUAAACCUGUGAAUGAGAUGAGAGAAAUCUAUAGCUUUCUUGAACCUCCAUGUCAUCAUCCAGAGACGUUGAAAUCUAAGAAGACUUCUUCAUUAUUUUCUCUUGGAAUUAUAGGAAAAGCACUAGAUGACUUUAGGAUUUGCAGUUUUCCUUUUUAAAUCCUAAUUUCUUAUGACACUUAAAGGAGAGGGAAAUUUGUCCAUUUUUUCUACAAAUUAAAAAAGCUAAGAUUCGUCUGCAUCACACUUGAGCAAUAAAUUUUUCAUUGCCUUAAAAUUUAAAAAAAAAUUUUUUUUCAUUGCCUUAAGGAAAUCGAGUAGGCAGACUUUUUUUUUUUUAGUAUAUGAUGACUGUAUUGGUCCCAACUACUAUUUAAUCUUUACAACUAAAAAGGUAAUAGAUGGAGAAUUUUGAUUGUCCCUACAAAAUAAACAAGCAACCAGUUUUCUUGAUUGAUUUAAAGCAGACUUAAUGAUGACCUUGUGUCAUCUAUCCUUUUUAAAAUCUUGGCUGUUCUUGUAGGUGAAAGGGUCAGGUUAAUGUAAAGCUUUUGGAAAUUGUGCUCUUAAGUUUUCUAAAAUGAUUAAGCACACACAUAGUCUUCUCCCUCUUGGAGGUGAAAGUGGAGGAGGGUGAGGGAGAGUUACCUCUUAACUGUUGUCCUUUGUUCCUUCUAAGCUAGUUGCUGUGUAUAUCUUUAUUUUGUGAGUAAAAAAUAAAUGUCUGUUGAGAAAAAUACAACUUUUAAAAAUCUAAAGAAUUUAUUCUUAAAGCUGCAUCUAAGUUGUGUAUAGCUUAUUUUUUUAAAACUGUUUGUUGCACCUGGAUUCUAGCCAUAGUGAAACACUUGGUGAGUUUUACUUUUUCUUUUUUUCCACUUUACUGAAGUAAACUCUGGCCAGGUUCAAUUUGAGGAGCUGCUGAAAUAGAAAAUUUGUCUUUGAGCUCCAUUUUAACAGCCUCAAAUCAUAGGCAGUGUGUGAAGGAAGCAGCUUGGCUGUGAACUUGAAGCACUCCGUCAUCUGCUGCCUGCUGGCACUGCUUCUGGGUUUCCCUCCAGAAAACCACAAAGGCCAGGAGUGGUGCAAAAAAACAGAGCACCUUCAGCAGGUGAUCUGAAGAUUUUACAGCUAGAAACUGGAGCUAGAAAAUCCGGAGAAUUCAAGCUGUGUUGUUUUAAACAUGGCAGUAUCUUGAGCUACAUUUAAAAGCUGAUUACAGUUAACUGAAUUCCAGGAUUGUAAUUUAUUUCAGAAGGUGUUUCUCCAGUAUCCAGUGUCUUCAACAAACGAAAAAGGCCAGCAGCUUCUCGUA